rnacentral:rRNA from 1 species
AGUGAACGCUGGCGGUAGGCCUAACACAUGCAAGUCGAACGGCAGCACAGUAAGAGCUUGCUCUUACGGGUGGCGAGUGGCGGACGGGUGAGGAAUACAUCGGAAUCUACUUUUUCGUGGGGGAUAACGUAGGGAAACUUACGCUAAUACCGCAUACGACCUACGGGUGAAAGCAGGGGAUCUUCGGACCUUGCGCGAUUGAAUGAGCCGAUGUCGGAUUAGCUAGUUGGCGGGGUAAAGGCCCACCAAGGCGACGAUCCGUAGCUGGUCUGAGAGGAUGAUCAGCCACACUGGAACUGAGACACGGCCCAGACUCCUACGGGAGGAAGCAGUGGGGAAUAUUGGACAAUGGGGGCAAGCCUGAUCCAGCCAUACCGCGUGGGUGAAGAAGGCCUUCGGGUUGUAAAGCCCUUUUGUUGGGAAAGAAAAGCAGCAGGUUAAUACCCCGCUGUUCUGACGGUACCCAAAGAAUAAGCACCGGCUAACUUCGUG